GGGGUUGUAGCCUAGUAGUUAGAGCGUUGAGCUCACGACUUGAUGGUCGGAGGUUUGAUUCCCGAUCCCA
rnacentral:tRNA from 1 species